AUGUACCAAGGAGGAUGGAGAGGCCACAUUAUGCAACUGAUAAAAAUGUAGGUGGUUCGUUGUCCAUUGUAGUACUAUGCUAUAUGGAAGGAAGUGUCGAUCACCUACUCAUUGGGAUGAAGUCGGUGAGUGGAGAUAUCUUGGACCCGAUGCAGUCCAAAGAACUAGUGAGGCUAUUGAGAAGAUUUGAACUCGUAUGCUUGCCUCACAAAGUAGACAAAAAAGCUACGCUAAUCCAAAUCAUGGAGAUAUUGAGUUUCAGGUUGGCGACUUUGUCUUCCUUUGAGUGUCACCAAUGAAGGGGAUUUUGAGAUUUAGAUAGAAAGGAAAACUAAGUCCCAAAUUUAUUGGUCUAUUCGAGAUAUUGGAAAGUGUAGGUGAAGUAGCCUAUCAGCUAGCUUUAUUCCCUACUUUAUCUGGAGUUCACAACGUAUUCCAUAUUUUAAUGCUUAGGAAAUAUGUGUCUGAUAUGACCCAAAUUCUUAGUUAUGAGAACAUUGAGCUUCAAACGGACUUAUUUUACGAGGAACAACAUGUUCAGAUCUUGGAUAAAAAUAAAAAAGUAUUGCAAAACAAGACCAUUCGGCUAGUUAAAGUGUUGUGGAGAAAUAACAAGGUUGAAGAAGCGACUUGGGAAUUAUAGUCGCAGAAGCGGGAGCGGUAUCUUGACUUGUUUAGGUAAAUUUUGAGGACAAAAUUUCUGUAAGGAGGGGAUAGUUGUGAUAUCCCGAAAAUUAUAACUAUGUUAAUUUUGGCAUAUUUUAUUAAGAGAUUUUUACGCUUGAUGUCACUUUUUACUUUUUUUUUACAUUUUUAUUUAUUCUCAAUUAUUUAAACCUUUUUAUAUUUUUUAUUUUUCAAUUUUACUUUUUUAAAAGUUCAAUAAUUACAAAUAUACCUUUACCAUGCAUAUGUCAUGUUUUAUCUAUUCUUACACCCCACCUCCUCCAUAUCUGCCCUAUUCUUCUUCUCUUUUUUUUUUUUUUUCUCUCUGUUUCUCUUUCCUCUGUUCUUCAACCUCCAUAGCCCACGAUCACCCAGUCGAAGCCCUUACCCACAUUUUUUCUCAACCUCCCAUCUAUGCCACUAUCUCCAUUUUGUUCGAUAAUCUCUGUAAGUUCUUCCUCCCCCAUUGUGUUCUCUUCUUCUAUAAAUGACCACCACUAGAAGUGGUUCGAAGUCCCCAUCUCCAGCUAAAAAAAAUUCUAAAAAUUCAAAGAAACCUCCUAAAAAUUCAUAUAAAGUUGAUCUUAAGAUGAGUUUGAAGCGCAUUGCUAAGAAAGUAAUGGGUGAUGUUUCAGAGCCAUCUGCUACUAAGAAAAGACCCAUUCCAAAUAAGGUCGAGUCUCGUAAGGCAAAGAGAGCGAAACCUUCGAAGUCUACAAAGGAUGUAAAUUUGGUUUUGUUGUUUUUCAAUUUUUGUUUAGUUUUUUUCUAGUUGUUGUGUUUUUUCGUAUUACAUUUUGUGUUUUAAAAUUUCCCCCCUUGUUGUUCUAGGUUAUAUCCGAUUCUGAUUUUGAGAACGAAAUGCAUGAUGGGAGAGAAAAGCCUAAAGUUAAAUCCAAGAUAGUUGUUGCUUGGAAGUUGUUGCCGGGUUGUUUCCAGAUUGCUGCAAAUCUGCCUGUGCUGAGUUGUUGUCAUCCCAAUGCCCAUUGCUCUGUACCAAAAUUUCCAGAUUACAGAUCUCCUUCUCUUCGAUUCUUCUCCUCUGAACGCGUUGGGCUUUUGACUGAAUGUUGUUUUUGAGUUUUUUUUUUUUUUUGUACAACAAUGGAGGUUGGAUAAAUUUUUUUCCCUUUUUGUAUUUGGAUUUUCGGGAUCUGAGUAGUUUUUCUUUGAGAUCUACAUUUUUUUAGAUAUGAUUUUCCUAGUUUUGGAAUGAAAAUGGUUGAAAAUGGUUGUUGGGGUUCUACAGUUGGGUCACGAAGAAGGAGGAUCCCCUCUGUUUUUUUUUGGCAGGUAUUUUUGUAAAUAACAACUUUUAGUUUAUAUUUUUGUUUAUUUUCUCUA